GCAUAUCAAUAAGCGGAGGAAAAGAAACCAACAGGGAUUGCCCUAGUAACGGCGAGUGAAGCGGCAACAGCUCAAAUUUGAAAUCUGGCCCUCGUGGUCCGAGUUGUAAUUUGUAGAGGAUGCUUUUGGUGCGGUGCCUUCCGAGUUCCCUGGAACGGGACGCCAGAGAGGGUGAGAGCCCCGUACGGUUGGACACCUACCCUAUAUAUAGCUCCUUCGACGAGUCGAGUAGUUUGGGAAUGCUGCUCUAAAUGGGAGGUAAAUUUCUUCUAAAGCUAAAUACCGGCCAGAGACCGAUAGCGCACAAGUAGAGUGAUCGAAAGAUGAAAAGCACUUUGAAAAGAGGGUUAAAUAGCACGUGAAAUUGUUGAAAGGGAAGCGUUUGCGACCAGACCUUUUCCCGGCGGAUCAUCUGGUGUUCUCACCGGUGCACUUCGCUUGGUUUAGGCCAGCAUCGGUUUCUUUAGGGGGAUAAAGGCGUUGGGAACGUAGCUCUUUCGGGAGUGUUAUAGCCCUUCACGUAAUACCCUUCGAGGGACCGAGGACCGCGCAUUGCAAGGAUGCUGGCGUAAUGGUCGUCAACGACCCGUCUUGAAACACGGACCAAGGAGUCGAACAUUUGUGCGAGUGUUUGGGUGUUAAACCCUCACGCGUAAUGAAAGUGAACGGAGGUGAGAGCCCUUACGGGUGCAUCAUCGACCGAUCCUGAUGUCUUCGGAUGGAUUUGAGUAAGAGCAUAACUGUUCGGACCCGAAAGAUGGUGAACUAUGCGUGGAUAGGGUGAAGCCAGAGGAAACUCUGGUGGAGGCUCGCAGCGGUUCUGACGUGCAAAUCGAUCGUCAAAUCUGCGCAUGGGGGCGAAAGUAAGUUCCAUACCUACCCUAUAUACAGCUACCCUGUAGCUACCCUAUAUAUACAUCUAUAACGAGAAUUUAAUGCUAACAAGUUUUCCCUUCAGGACUUAUCGAACCAUCUAGUAGCUGGUUACCGCCGA
rnacentral:rRNA from 1 species